AGUGAACGCUGGCGGUAGGCCUAACACAUGCAAGUCGAACGGCAGCACAGUAAGAGCUUGCUCUUACGGGUGGCGAGUGGCGGACGGGUGAGGAAUACAUCGGAAUCUACUUUUUCGUGGGGGAUAACGUAGGGAAACUUACGCUAAUACCGCAUACGACCUACGGUUGAAAGCAGUGGAUCUUCGGACCUUGCGCGAUUGAAUGAGCCGAUGUCGGAUUAGCUAGUUGGCGGGGUAAAGGCCCACCAAGGCGACGAUCCGUAGCUGGUCUGAGAGGAUGAUCAGCCACACUGGAACUGAGACACGGUCAAGACUCCUACGGGAGGCAGCAGUGGGGAAUAUUGGACAAUGGGCGCAAGCAUGAUCCAGCCAUACCGAGUGGGUGAAGAAGGCCUUCGGGUUGUAAAGCCCUUUUGUUGGGAAAGAAAAGCAGCAGGUUAAUACCCCGCUGUUCUGACGGUACCCAAAGAAUAAGCACCGGCUAACUUCGUG
rnacentral:rRNA from 1 species